UACGGAGGGUGCGAGCGUUAAUCGGAAUUACUGGGCGUAAAGCGUGCGUAGGCGGCUACUUAAGUUGGAUGUGAAAGCCCCGGGCUCAACCCGGGAACUGCAUCCAAAACUGGGUGGCUAGAGUACGGGAGAGGAGUGUGGAAUUUCCUGUGUAGCGGUGAAAUGCGUAGAUAUAGGAAGGAACACCAGUGGCGAAGGCGACACUCUGGCCUGAUACUGACGCUGAGGUACGAAAGCGUGGGGAGCAAACAGG
rnacentral:rRNA from 1 species